AAAAGAAAACUUAAAGCUUAAUUUCUCAUGAAAUUCUUUUUUUAGUAAAUAUUCAUUUAUGCAAUUCUUUCUUUGCAUCCAUUUCAUAUUAUUUAAAUCUUCCGACUAAACGAUCAUUUUAAAAUAGGAUAAAGGGGAAGAGGAGAAAGGGACAAGCCCAUCCCCGCGUAGCAAACCAUAAUAGGCCCUCACUCCGCCUGGAUAAUGUUUGAUGCGGGCAGAACUGACCGUGUGUUGGGCACGCCGGCUGUUUUUAUUCAUAUCCUUUUCACCCAUAAGAUCGGCUCGGCUAUCUCUCUGGGCUUCGGCACGACCUCUUCGUGUGAGUACGUUAUAUCCGGCACCACCGAGGCUAUCAGCGGACCAAUAAAUCUUCCCACCCUAUGUGUCCGAGUGGAAAGCAUACGGUCUCUAUAUUUAAUUGACGCCCAUGCAUUUCGAAUUCGGACUGUGCAGGUAAAAGUAAAGGCCCAGUUUCAUUGAGCUACCACCUCAUGCACCUCUUCUCUCUCUCACCGUAUCUUUGCACGCAAGCAGCGAAAUUAAGAAUAUAGCACUGAAUGCAAAGCACGAGUAGAAGUCAAUUUCGUUUUUUUUCUCAACCUAUUGCGCGGCUAAAUUUUUGAAACAGUGUACACGCACACGAAAACAAAAGCAAUCAAACAACGUUCCUCCUCCCUGGCCAUGCGAAUAGCCCCCUAAUACCCAUCCAUUCGACGGUCCCCAAGCGCUGGAUCUCGAACCCCAGACCCAUCCACGGAUCGAAACUUUCAGAUCCAACGGUCAUCAUGUUAUCGGACCGAAAGAAAUCCCACGAUCAGACGGUCCGAACCGAUUCUCAUGAACGGAUCAUUUUUAAAUCGAUUCGAAUUCGGCGAAGAACCCCCAAAUCCAGAGCCUCCCACUUCCUUCCCCUGGUGCGAACAAGCUCUCGGCAUCUUCCUCCUCGCUCCUCCCUUCUUUUCUUCCUCUCUUCCCCGGAGACAAGAAGAAGAAGCCCAGAGGGAUCUCAGAGAGAAGGGAGAGCGAGCGAGCGAGCGAGAGAGAGAAAGAGAGAGGAGCCAUGGAAACCCUAAUGGUGGAUCGAGUUCAGAGCAGUCUCCGCCUCUUCAUGAAUCGAAACGCCAUUUUCCUCUGCGAGCGCCUCUGUGCCGAGUUCCCCUCCGAGGUUUGGCCGGCCUCCCGAUCUCUUUUUGUUCGCUCGCUACCUUUUCUUUUUAGAUCUUUUCUUUUCUUUACUUUUGGGAUGAUCGGUCGCUGUUUGAGAUCUUCGGGUUAUUGUGAUUUCUUGCUCUGGAGCUCCCGCUGUUUGAGAUCUUUCGGUUCUUGUGAUUUCUUGCUCUGGAGCUCCCGCUGCUUUUAGAUCGUUUCGUGGAGUUUUAUGAAAUUUCUUGGAGAAAAUUAUGGUUUCUGAAGAAAAUUGUGAAUUUUUGGGUGUGCAAAAGAAGAAAAGCGAGAUUUUUGAUUUCGAAGCCGAAGAGUUUUUUGUGUUUGAUACCUGGGGUUAUUUCUGUUCUGGUUUUCGUUGGAAAUUGCCGGAAUUUUGUAAUUUGAAGGGAUGUUAAUUUGAGUUCUCACUGCAAGUUAGGGUUUUUACUAGGCUAAUUCAUUGGGAGUUCUUGAUCUUUUUGUUGGAGUGUCUGUACUGAUUAUUCCGGUGGAAACUUUUGAAUGCAGCUUAAUUUGCAACUGCUGGCCACUUGUUAUCUGAGAAACAACCAGGCUUAUUGCGCAUACCAUAUUUUGAAAGGUAAGCUACACAUGUAAUGUCGUCUUGGACACUUUACUUAUCAAGGUAUUUGACAAUGCACCAGUUGAGCAAAUAACUUAACCAUUGGUAUUUCGCUCAUGCAAGUGGCGGUCCAUGGUCGGUAAAUAUGGUCUGUGUACCCAUGUAGUUUGAUUAGUUUCAAUCUGUUCAUGCUUUUGACCAUUAUGCUGUAAUAUGGGAGAGAAUGGUGUUCUGAUCAAAUUGAAUGGGUAUUGGGUCAGUGGCAUGGGUGGCAAAUUCUUAAUGCAACUUGUGAUUGUAACUUCAGUAGAUAUCUGUGUUCUUAUGUGCGUAUUGAAAGGCUUGGUCUUUUACAAUAAUGUACUUCUCUAUCUUGUUUCUUGAGGUGCUGCUUGCAGUUGGAAGUUAUGCUUGUUCAACAAUCUCAUUCUCCUUUUGUUCUUAAUGAUAUGAAGGGUCAAAAAUGCCUCAGUCCCGCUACUUGUUUGCAAUGUCAUGCUUUCAGAUGAAUCUUCUUCGUGAAGCUGAAGCAGCACUGUGUCCAGCCAAUGAGCCUAAUGCAGAGGUAUGGAAUUCUCCUGAAUACAGAUGAUUGAACUUAGCCAUAAUGGUUUACUAUCCGUUCAUUCAUUAAACCAGAAAGUUGUGAAAUAAGAAAUAAUAUAGGUAGAAACACAUCAGAAUCUGCAAUAGUCUAGUAUUUCACAUGAACGCUAGUAAAUGAUAGCACUCGUGCAGUAAUGAAUGUAUUGAGCAUCUGGGCCGUUCGAGCAUUCAUGAAUGGGAGAAACACAUAAGGAAACAAAUUCAGUUCUAAUCUAUUGAAUUGUGGCCUUAUUCCAUGUAAUGAACUGAAAAUAGAAUGGCAAUAGUAGCUAACAAAUGUUGUAUUUGACAGGAUAAAUCUUUAGCUUGGUUACCUGUAUAGAGUAUGUGAGAAAAUUAAUUCAAGUGCAGGAGCAUUGAAGUGCUAUUCUAAAAAAUUUAGAGCAAGGAAAAUGUGGGUACAGGAAAUGAUUUUUGACAGAUUUCAAAGCAGGUGCUUCACCCUAGGUGGAAAAUUCUAGCUAUUUAGCCUUGUAGCAAUGUGGGAACUAGGUUGAGCUCCAUAGGCUUGGAGUACACAUGAUAUAUUGGAGAUUGUAACAAUGUUAUUUCGUCAGAUACUUAAGUAGCACCUCAGUCUAGCAACGCUAGGCCUCAUUGGAACUCCUGGAAGAGCACAAUCAAACUUCCAUCACGUAUAUAUUAUGGGAAGAUAAAUUAACCAAGUUCCCUUCUUGGACUGGUGGAGGAUGACAUCCUUAGAAGCAUAAGGUACAGCUCUGAUUAUAUUAAGGAUGCUAUUAGGAGUGCCACACUUUUGUAAUCCAUUUAAUUAAAAUGAUCAAAUAUUGUGUAGAAUAUUUUGUUAAGUAGUUGGGAGGCCUGAACUUUUACUGGCAAUUUGUACUAUAAUGCCUUACCUAGAGUAUACUCUUGUGUUGAUUAUUUCAUUAUAUAUAAAAAAAUAGUACUAUAUCUAAAAGAGAACCAAAAAUAUGAUCAUUGAAUAAUUUUCUCUCUUUUUCGAGAAUCAUGCAGUUAUAGUGCUGUUAAAUUUCUAUUUGGCUGAACCAAAAUUUAAAAUCAGCAAUGAUCACUAUCUUUAUGUUUUUAGAGUAGCAAUCUAGCAGUUGCUCUGGACCUCCUGUUGAAAUAUUUUGUGCUUUGUUAUUAUAAUGUAUACUGUGCGCGUUUGACUUUAUCUACUUAACUGGAGACUGGAGGGGUUUGAGUGUGCAUUGGCUCGUUGCUGUUUAUUUGGUUCACUUUCACUUCAGUUGACCACUCCUUUGGCUUUUGUAACAUCCAGCUUCAUAUCAGCAUGUGCAAAAGAAUGACUCUUGUUUCUGUUUUCUUCCUCUACGCAGGUUCCAAAUGGAGCAGCAGGCCACUAUCUUCUUGGUCUCAUUUAUAGGUUUCCAGUUUUCUUCAAUCUAAUAUUAUCAAUUGCAUAUGAUUAUUCUAAACUUGAGACUAUAUGACACCUUUUUUAUUAUGUAAAUCAUGUGCUCCAUAUCCACAACUAAGAUCAAGUUUAUUAUUGCACUUUAAAUAAUAAUGGUAGUUGAAAUAACUACUGAUAGUUCUCUCGUGGAAAGAUCUUUAGUGCAUAGUGUCAUUAGCAUUCUCCUAUCUACUAUGCUUUGUCUGUGCAUCAAUUUACUGCUGGUCUUUGUAGUUUGUAGGUUGUACUCUGGUACUCUUUUUCCCUUUACCAAGUUAUUUGGAUACUAUUGAGGUGGUUAUGUAUGAUAUUGAUAGGGAAAAGAUAAAUAGAUAAGAUAGUCAUAUCAUGAUUGACUCUGUGCAGAUUCUCAUGAUUGACAGACAUGCUGGAUGUCAUGUACUUUCAUAUUGUCUUUUAGUUUUCAAUUGAGGGAUAUGUUGUUAAUAGAUAGGAUAUGCUACUUGUUGGAAACUAGAGGAUGAAGUAACAUUGUUGUAAUACUUUUCUAGUACUUUAUUUGGAUUUAGAAAUUCUCUGAUGAAAUAUUGUAGUAUAUGCUGGUGAUGCUUUGAUACAUUCUUGCUCGAGGAUGCUUGAACUGAUCGACUGAUAAUGUGUUCAAAAUCUUGAAUUGUUAUUUCGCUGAACUAUACUGAAUGUGAAUACGAGAUUAAAUUUCAAUAACUAAAUUUGUAUAUUUUCUGUUAUAGUGUGCUCUAAUACAUUCUUACAUAUCUAUUCUAUUUGAAUCAACUUUCAUGUAGAUUGAUAAUCUUGUAAGAACUUUCCUCUAGCAAAUCAAAGCACAAGCCUAGCAAUCUAUCAACAUCUUGUGUAGGCCCUUGUGUUACUUGGACACUUGCAUCAAGCCCCUAGAAUCCCUGUUGGAUACAUCUGUGUCAGAUACGCAUCGAAAACUUAAAUACUUAUAGAUAUUUCUCAAUUUCAAUUUUUAGAAAUUGUAGAGAGUUGACUCCAACAAUGAGUUUGAUUCAAGGUUUGCAAUACCGAUUAGAAUCGCUCGGUUCGGGUCAUACGAACCAAACCGGUGUGUAACCAGAUAGGUAUGCAGGGUUGGUUUGAGGUAGAGCCAGAAUUGGUUGGAACGAGUUCAAAUUGAGUGGGAUUGGUUGGUUCCACUUGGUUUGGACUGGUUCUAUUUGAUCAACCUGGGAUAAACCAGUAUUUUAAUAUGAAAUCCCCCCACCUCAUGAGUCCUAAUCUCUCUCAUUUUCUCAUCUUCGAAAUACUAACCCCCUUCUUUACUCUGAUGUUGCCGCUGCUGACCUUGAGCAGCUCCUCUGUCAGUCACCCAUGCCGAACUGCCUCGUCAAAACACUCUUUUCGGUUGCGUUCGCCAAUCGCCUUAGUCAUUCACCUUUGUCAAAAGCCCUCUUCGGUCCUUUGCUGACCUUCCUCCCUCUUUCCUCCCCCCCUCAUCUCUCUCUUGGUAAGAGUAUCGACUCUUGAGCAGCGUAUUUUAUAUUAGUGCGGUAAAGUACUGUACCAAUUAGGGCUGCAAAUGGGUCGGGUUGGGUCGGGUCCUAGGUGACCCCGNNNNNNNNNNNNNNNNNNNNNNNNNNNNNNNNNNNNNNNNNNNNNNNNNNNNNNNNNNNNNNNNNNNNNNNNNNNNNNNNNNNNNNNNNNNNNNNNNNNNNNNNNNNNNNNNNNNNNNNNNNNNNNNNNNNNNNNNNNNNNNNNNNNNNNNNNNNNNNNNNNNNNNNNNNNNNNNNNNNNNNNNNNNNNNNNNNNNNNNNNNNNNNNNNNNNNNNNNNNNNNNNNNNNNNNNNNNNNNNNNNNNNNAAAAAACUCAAAUUAAUUAAUUAACAUUUUCAUAAAUAGUAAGAUUAUUUUUUUAAGAGAAAACGAACUAAAAAAAAAAAGAGAUAGUGGCUUAGCUUUUUCUUUUGGUUUUUUGGGCUGCAGGGCAGUGGAAAUGGAAGGAGCCACAGUGGCUGCUGCAGCACCACUCUUACCAGUCUUUCUUCGCAGAGGGAUCCACACCACACUGCAGUAGAUCGAGCAAAUCAAAACUAUAUUGAGAAAAAAAAAGAGAGAGAAAAAAUAUAAAAAGAUGAAAAAUAAAAAAGAAGUUGAUCUUACCGUGCAUCUUCUUCUUCUCUUCCUUGGAGAUUCUCUAGUUCUUGCUGAAAGGAUGGAAAAUCAAGAGACAGAGGAGAGAAAUCGGAAUAGAAAGGGUUUUAGUCUUUGAGAUGAGGUAUCUUGAAGAAGCUGAUGGAGGUUUUAACUUUUGAGGGAGUUAGGGUUUGAGGAAGACUAGAUCGUUGAGGAAAGAAGCUCGGAGUCUGUCGAUCUAGAGGGAUUUAGAGCCUUAGAGGUCAAUCUUUCCCAUGCAGCAAGAUUUCAGGCUCUCACCGCUCGGAGUUGGUUGAUCAGUUGAUGGAAGCGGCAAAGGUGUGAAUGGGUAGGCUAGUAGUUUAGUCAAUAGAAGAAAACCUGGAAACCCUAAGGAACGGGGGUCGGUGGAUGGAAGAACUGAAGAACCUCAAAACCCUCAAAGACUAGAUGGAAUGUGGCGGAGAACCAGAGAAGAAGUUGCUAGAGAAGAGAAUAGAGAUGGACAGACUCAUGGAGUACCUAUAGUGAUCGGUGGAUGGAAGAACCGAAGAACCUCAAAACCCUCAAGGAUGAAAGAUCGGAUGGUAAGUGGAACAGGGGAAGAGAACCAGCGUCCAGGGAAGAAGUCUCUAGAGAAGAGAUCGAGAGAAUGGAGACGGACAACGACGGACUGAUGAAGAAUGGACAGUGGACUGGAGAAUGCAGUACGGCGCCUGAGUAGGACCACGUGGGCGGCCGAAGGCCAGAAGGCAGGAUUUAGGCAUUUAGCUUUAUAUAGUAACGGGUCGGGUCGGGUCCCGGAUCAAGAUUGGGUGGACCCGACCCGAAAAAUAGAUCGGGUCUAAAUUUAGGACCCGACCCGGCCCCGCGGGUCCUAAAAUUCGGGUCGGGUCGGGUCUAAAGCGGGUCGGGUCGGGUCGGGUCCCGGGUCGACCCGACCCAUUUGCAGCCUUAG
rnacentral:lncRNA from 1 species